UACGUAGGGGCUAGCGUUGUCCGGAAUCAUUGGGCGUAAAGCGCGCGUAGGCGGCCCGGUAAGUCCGCUGUGAAAGUCAAAGGCUCAACCUUUGAAUGUCAGCGGAUACUGCCGGGCUAGAGUCCGGAAGAGGCGAGUGGAAUUCCGUGGUGUAGCGGUGGAAUGCGCAGAUAUCAGGAGGAACACCAACGGCGAAGGCAGCUCGCUGGGACGGUACUGACGCUGAGGCGCGAAAGCGUGGGGAGCGAACAGG
rnacentral:rRNA from 1 species